rnacentral:rRNA from 1 species
UACGUAGGGGGCAAGCGUUGUCCGGAUUUAUUGGGCGUAAAGGGCGCGCAGGCGGCGCUUCAAGUCCGUUGUGAAAUUUCAGGGCUUAACCCUGACGGGUCAACGGAAACUGAAGGGCUAGAGUGCAGCAGAGGAAAGCGGAAUUCCCGGUGUAGUGGUGAAAUGCGUAGAUAUCGGGAGGAACACCAGAGGCGAAAGCGGCUUUCUGGGCUGUAACUGACGGCUGAGGCGCGAAGGCUAGGGGGAGCAAACAGG